rnacentral:rRNA from 1 species
GAACGCUGGCGGCGUGCCUAAUACAUGCAAGUUGAGCGCUGAAGGUUGGUACUUGUACCGACUGGAUGAGCAGCGAACGGGUGAGUAACGCGUGGGGAAUCUGCCUUUGAGCGGGGGACAACAUUUGGAAACGAAUGCUAAUACCGCAUAAAAACUUUAAACACAAGUUUUAAGUUUGAAAGAUGCAAUUGCAUCACUCAAAGAUGAUCCCGCGUUGUAUUAGCUAGUUGGUGAGGUAAAGGCUCACCAAGGCGAUGAUACAUAGCCGACCUGAGAGGGUGAUCGGCCACAUUGGGACUGAGACACGGCCCAAACUCCUACGGGAGGCAGCAGUAGGGAAUCUUCGGCAAUGGACGAAAGUCUGACCGAGCAACGCCGCGUGAGUGAAGAAGGUUUUCGGAUCGUAAAACUCUGUUGGUAGAGAAGAACGUUGGUGAGAGUGGAAAGCUCAUCAAGUGACGGUAACUACCCAGAAAGGGACGGCUAACUACGUGCCAGCAGCCGCGGUAAUACGUAGGUCCCGAGCGUUGUCCGGAUUUAUUGGGCGUAAAGCGAGCGCAGGUGGUUUAUUAAGUCUGGUGUAAAAGGCAGUGGCUCAACCAUUGUAUGCAUUGGAAACUGGUAGACUUGAGUGCAGGAGAGGAGAGUGGAAUUCCAUGUGUAGCGGUGAAAUGCGUAGAUAUAUGGAGGAACACCGGUGGCGAA